UACGUAGGGUGCUAGCGUUGUCCGGAAUCAUUGGGCGUAAAGAGCGCGUAGGCGGCUAGAUAAGUCCGGUGUGAAAGUCACAGGCUCAACCUGUGAAUGCCGCUGGAAACUGUCUGGCUAGAGUCCGGAAGGGGCGAGUGGAAUUCCUGGUGUAGCGGUGAAAUGCGCAGAUAUCAGGAGGAACACCAAUGGCGAAGGCAGCUCGCUGGGACGGUACUGACGCUGAGGCGCGAAAGCGUGGGGAGCAAACAGG
rnacentral:rRNA from 1 species